CGAUCAGUGGUAGACAGAACAUUGACGGUGAAAUUUCACUUCCUAGAAAAGCCCAGACCAUCUAUAACUUAAAAUAACCUGUACCCGAAACCGACACAGGUAGGUAAGUAGAGAAUACUCAGGGGAGCGAGAUAACUCUCUCUAAGGAACUCGGCAAAAUGGCCCCGUAACUUCGGGAGAAGGGGUGCUAGUAUUUACUAGUUGCAGUGACCAGGCUCAGGCGACUGUUUAUCAAAAACACAGGUCUCCGCAAAGUCGAAAGACAACGUAUGGGGGCUGACGCCUGCCCAGUGCCGGAAGGUAAAAGAAGUUGGUUAUUGUUUUUUAAAUGAGAAGCUGACGACUGAAGCCCCGGUGAACGGCGGCUGUAACGCUGACAGUCCUAAGGUAGCGAAAUUCCUUGUCAGUAAGUUUUGACCCGCACGAAAGGCGUAACGAUCUGAGCACUGUCUCGGAGAGAGACUCGGUGAAAUAGACAUGUCUGAGAAGAUGCGGACUACUUAUACCAGGACAGAAAGACCCUAUGAAGCUUGACUGUAAUUUGGGAUUGAAUUCGGGCUCUUUUUGCGCAGUAUAGGUGGGAGGCGGUGAGGGUCGGUUUUCGGACCGAUCGGAGCCAACAGUGAGAUACCACUCUGAGAGAGCUGGGAUUCUAAUAGGAGGCCUUGUAUCAGGAUCCUUGACAGUUUCAGGUGGACAGUUUGUUUGGGGCGAAUUUCUCCCAAAAGGUAACGGAGAAGUGCAAAGGUCCCUUCAAGUUGGACGGAAAUCAACUGUAGAGUGCAAAGGUAGAAGGGGGCUUGACUGCAGGACCAACAAGUCAAGCAGGAGCGAAAGCUGGCCUUAGUGAUCCGACGGUACCGAGUGGAAGGGCCGUCGCUCAACGGAUAAAAGUUACUCUAGGAUAACAGGCUAAUCUCCCCCAAGAGUUCACAUCGACGGGGAGGUUUGGCACCUUGAUGUCGGCUUAUCGCAACCUAGGGCUGUAGGUGGUCCUGAGGGUUGGACUGUUCGUCCAUUAAAGCGGUACACGAGCUGGGUUCAGAACGUCGUGAGACAGUUCGGUCCAUAUCCGGUAGAAGCGUAAGAGUAUUGAGAGGAGCUCGACAUUGUACGAGAGGACCCGAAGGGAUAUGCCGACGGUGUACCAGUUCUUGUGAUUCCAGGAAACGCUGGGUAGCUAUGCAUAGAGAGGAUAAUCGCUGAAAGCAUUUAAGUGAGAAGCCCACCUCAAGAUGAAUACUCUCCAUUAGACCGCGGCUAGAUAAGCCGAUUGUUUGGCGCCUAGUGUAAGACGUGGUGACCGUCAGCUUAGGCGUUCAAAAGGGUUGACUGACUUUA
rnacentral:rRNA from 1 species